AACAAACGCUGGCGGCGUGCCUAACACAUGCAAGUCGUACGAGAAAGUCGGCUUCGGCCGAUGAGUACAGUGGCGCACGGGUGAGUAGCGCGUGGUAAUCUGUCCCCCGGUCAGGAAUAACCCGCCGAAAGGCGGGCUAAUACCCGAUAACACUGACGCUCCGCGGAGCGUCUUUCAAAGAAGGCCUCUGUUUACAAGCUUUCGCCGGAGGAUGAGCCCGCGUACCAUUAGCUAGUUGGCAGGGUAAUGGCCUACCAAGGCUACGAUGGUUAGCUGGUCUGAGAGGAUGGCCAGCCACACUGGAACUGAGACACGGUCCAGACUCCUACGGGAGGCAGCAGUGAGGAAUCUUGCGCAAUGGGGGAAACCCUGACGCAGCAACGCCGCGUGAGUGAGGAAGGCCUUCGGGUCGUAAAGCUCUGUCAGAUGGGAAGAAAUGGAUGGGGGCUAAUAUCGCCCAUCCUUGACGGUACCAUCAGAGGAAGCACCGGCUAACUCCGUG
rnacentral:rRNA from 1 species